rnacentral:rRNA from 1 species
AAUCAACGCUGGCGGCGUGCCUAACACAUGCAAGUCGAGCGAGAAAAGGGGGGCAACUCCCUGAGUACAGCGGCGCACGGGUGAGUAACACGUGGGUAAUCUGCCCUGGAGUGGGGAAUAACACCGUGAAACCGGUUCUAAUACCGCAUACGAUCACGGAAUCUGCGGAUUUUGUGAUGAAAGGAGCAAUUCGCUCUAGGAGGAGCCCGCGGCUGAUUAGCGAGUUGGUGAGGUAAUGGCUCACCAAGGCAACGAUCAGUAUCCGGUCUGAGAGGACGGUCGGACACACUGGAACUGAGACACGGUCCAGACUCCUACGGGAGGCAGCAGUGGGGAAUUUUUGGCAAUGGAGGAAACUCUGAUGCAGCGACGCCGCGUGAGUGAUGAAGGCCUUCGGGUUGUAAAGCUCUGUUCUACGGGAAGAAAAAAAUGACGGUACCGUAGAAGAAAGGACCGGCUAACUUCGUGCCAGCCGCCGCCGUAACAC